rnacentral:rRNA from 1 species
UACAGGGGUGGCAGGCGUUGUUCGGAAUUACUGGGCGUAAAGGGCGCGUAGGCGGUCUUUUAAGUCUCGUGUGAAAUCCCUCGGCUCAACUGAGGAACUGCACGGGAUACUGGAUGACUUGAGUUCGGGAGAGGGAAGCGGAAUUCCGGGUGUAGCGGUGAAAUGCGUAGAUAUCCGGAGGAACACCGGUGGCGAAGGCGGCUUCCUGGACCGACACUGACGCUGAGGCGCGAAAGCUAGGGGAGCAAACGGG